UUUGAUCCUGCCCAGUAACCGUCAUAUGCUUGUCUCAAAAGAUUAAGCCAAAUGCAUGUCCUAGUACAAGCGAUUUAAGGCCGAAACCGACAGAUGGCUCAAUUAAUCAGCUAUGAUUCAUUGGAUCUGUACCCACACUUACUAUGGAUACAACUGUGAGUAAAUUCUAGAACUAAUACAUGCACCAACGUUGCUCUGACCGACAAGAGGGAAGAGCGCUUUUAAUCGUUCACAAACCGGUCCGGGCCUGCGGUCCGUCACCCCACCAGUGUUUGAAUCUGAAUAACUUGUUCGCUGAAGCGCACGGUCUUCCGUUCACCGGCGCGCCUCCUUUCAAGUGUCUGCCUUAUCACGCUUUCCGAUGUAGGUUAUGCGCCUACAAUGGCUAUAACGGGUAACGGGGAAUCAGGGUUCGAUUCCGGAGAGGGAGCGUGAGAACGGCUACCAGCAUCUAAGGAAGGCAGCAGGCACGCAAUUACCCACUCCGGCACGGGAGGUAGUGACGAAAAAAUAACGAUGCGAACUUCAUCCGAGGCUCGGCAAUCGGUAAUGAGUACACUUUAAGUCCUUUAACGAGGAUCUAUUGGAGAGGCAAGUACUGGUGCCAAGCAGCCGCGGUAAUUCAGACAACAAAGGGGGGUUGCGCGUAGUCCUGUAUGUGUUGCAGCUCCAAUAGCGUAUAUUAAAGUUGUUGCGGUUUAAAAGCUCGUAGUUGGAUUUCAGUUCUGGAUGACGGUUUCACCGCCCGGGUGCAUCACCUGUCACGCUCCGAACAGCACAACAGCCGCCUGGCUCGCACGGGGUGCUCUUCAUCGAGCGUGUCCCGCGUGGGCCGGCAGAGUUUACUUUGAAAAAUUAGAGUGCUCAAAGCAGGCUACACUUACGGCCUGAAUGCUAUCCAUCGGAAUAAUGAAAUAGGACCUUCGGUUCUAUUUUGGUCGGUUUCUGAACCCGAGGAUAAUGACUAAUAGGAACAAGCGCGGGGAUUCCGUAUUGCGACGCAGAGUGAAAUUCUUCGGACCGUCGCACAGACGAACUACUGCGAAAAAGCAUUGUGCCAAGGCAUGUUGUUCAACUUAAUCACAAGAACGAAAGUUAGAGGUUCGAAGGCGAUCCAGAUACCGGCUAGUUCUAACCAUAAACGUGCUGACCAGCCGGAUCCGCCGGCCGUUAGUUUCCCAUGACCCGGCGGGCAGCUUUCCGGGAACCAAAGUCUUUGGGUUCCCGGGGGAAACCGCUAUGGUUGCAAAGCUGAAACUUUAAACGGAAUUGACGGAAGGGCAGCACCAGGAAGUUGGAGCCUGCGGCUUAAAUUUGACUCACACGGGAACCUCAACCAGGCCCACGACACCGGAAGGAUUGACAGAUUUGAGGCUAUUCUCGAUUCGGUGGUGGUGGUGCAUGCCGUUCUAGUUGGGGGAGCGAUUUGUCUGGUUAAAUUUCCGAUAACGUAACGAGACCUCUGGCCUACUAACUGAGUCGACGGAUCUUUCUCAGCAAUUGGUGUCCAGUUCGCAGCUUCUUCUUAGAGGGAUAAGCGGCAAACUUAAGCCGCACGAGAUUGAGCAUUAACACGGUUGUGAUGCCCUUAGAUGUUCUGGGCCGCACCGCGCGCUACACUGAAGGGAAUCAACGUGUCCUCACCCCUCCGAAGAGGGCGGGUAACCCGUUGAAAUCCUUUCAUGAUAGGGAUGGUUUGCAAUGAUCUCCCAAUAACGAGGGAUCCAGUAAGGGCGCAAAGUCAUGCGCUUGCGUUGAUUACGUCCCCUGCCCUUUGUACAGCACCGCCCGUCGCUACUGCCGAUUGAAUGAUUUUAGUGCAGGCCUUCGACCUGGCGCUCUGCAUGCCGGGCCACGCGGUUCCGCCGCUGCGGCCCUUUCGGCGCCUCGCAGCUGACGGAAAUGUCCCAAACCUUGAUCAUUUAGAGCGAAGUAACAGUCGUAACAACGCUUCCGCGUAGGUGAACUCGCGGAAG
rnacentral:rRNA from 1 species